ensembl:ncRNA F35G2.20 ncRNA
UCUUUACAAUAUCACGUCUGCUUCAACUUGAACCUAUGAUCCCUACACCCUAGUACCUCCACUUUUCUUUUUCUCCGAACCUCGAUACCGCCGCUCUCUCCGGAGAGUAUUGUCUCGAGUGGAUCGCCGGGUAAAACAAC